CAAAAACAUAGCUGCGUGAAGUGAUACGCAGUGUUUUCUGCUCAAUGAACAUUAAAUAGCCGCAGUACCCUGACUGUGCUAAGGUAGCGCAAUCAAUUGACUUUUAAAUGGAGUCCAGUAUGAAAGAAAUAAUGGAGGGCUACUUUACUGAUUUACAAUUGCAGAAUUUACUUAAGGAGUGCAAAUUCUUCUACAUCAACAAUAGACGAGAAGACCCUAGAAAUUUGUAGAAGUAACUUUUUGUUGGGGCAACAAAGUAGUAUUAGUAAAUCUACUAUUUUGACAAGAAAAGUAUAUUUUGGAAGAUAAAAUUACUCUAGGGAUAACAGCAUAAUUAAUAAUAGUUUGUGACCUCGAUGUUGGAUUAGGGAAUUUACAUUCAGAAGAUAAUUUAUAGCUCUGUUCG
rnacentral:rRNA from 1 species